rnacentral:rRNA from 1 species
AUUGAACGCUGGCGGCAGGCCUAACACAUGCAAGUCGAGCGGAUGAAGGGAGCUUGCUCCUGGAUUCAGCGGGGGACGGGCGCGCAAUGCCGAGAAAUCUGUCUGGCCGUGGGUAUACCGCCCGGUAACGGGGGCUAAUACCGCAUACGUCCUGAGGGUGUAAGUGGGGGGUCUUCGGACCUCACGCUAUCAGUUGAGGCUAGGGGGGAUUAGAGAGUUGGAAGGGUAAGGGGCUGCCAAGGCGACGAUCCGUAACUGGGCUGAGAGGAGGAUCAGUCACCCUGGAACUGAGACACGGUCCAGACCCCAACGCUACGCGGGAGAGGGGAAUAGUGGACAAUGCGCGAAAGCCUAACCCAACCAUGCCGCGUAUGUGAAGAAAGUCUUCGGAUUUUAAAUCUAUUUAAGUUGGGAGGAAGGACAGUGAGUUAAUACCUUGCUGUUUUGACGUUACCGACAGAAUAAGCACCGGCUAACUUCGUG